GUGCACGCUGGCGGCAGGCCUCACACAUGCCAGUCGAGCGGCAGCGCGGGGGCAACCCUGGCGGCGAGCGGCGGACGGGUGAGGAAUUCGUCGGAAUCUGCCUUUUUGUGGGGGAUAACGUAGGGAAACUUACGCUAAUACCGCAUACGUCCUACGGGAGAAAGUGGGGGACCGCAAGGCCUCACGCAGAAAGAUGAGCCGACGACCGAUUAGCUAGUUGGUGGGGUAAAGGCCCACCAAGGCGACGAUCGGUAGCUGGUCUGAGAGGAUGAUCAGCCACACUGGGACUGAGACACGGCCCAGACUCCUACGGGAGGCAGCAGUGGGGAAUAUUGGACAAUGGGCGCAAGCCUGAUCCAGCCAUGCCGCGUGUGUGAAGAAGGCCUUCGGGUUGUAAAGCACUUUUGUCCGGAAAGAAAUCCCUGGAGCUAAUACCUUCGGGGGAUGACGGUACCGGAAGAAUAAGCACCGGCUAACUUCGUG
rnacentral:rRNA from 1 species